rnacentral:rRNA from 1 species
GGAAGGGGUGUAUUUAUUAGAUAAAAAACCAAUGCCCUUCGGGGCUCUUUGGUGAUUCAUGAUAACUUAACGGAUCGCAUGGCCUUGCGCCGGCGACGGUUCAUUCAAAUUUCUGCCCUAUCAACUUUCGAUGGUAAGGUAUUUGCUUACCAUGGUUUCAACGGGUAACGGGGAAUUAGGGUUCGAUUCCGGAGAGGGAGCCUGAGAAACGGCUACCACAUCCAAGGAAGGCAGCAGGCGCGCAAAUUACCCAAUCCCGACACGGGGAGGUAGUGACAAUAAAUACUGAUACAGGGCUCUUUUGGGUCUUGUAAUCGGAAUGAGUACAAUUUAAACCCCUUAACGAGGAACAAUUGGAGGGCAAGUCUGGUGCCAGCAGCCGCGGUAAUUCCAGCUCCAAUAGCGUAUAUUAAAGUUGUUGCAGUUAAAAAGCUCGUAGUUGAACCUUGGGCCUGGCUGGCCGGUCCGCCUCACCGCGUGUACUGGUCCGGCCGGGCCUUUCCUUCUGGAGAGCCGCAUGCCCUUCACUGGGUGUGUCGGGGAACCAGGACUUCUACUUUGAAAAAAUUAGAGUGUUCAAAGCAGGCCUUUGCUCGAAUACGUUAGCAUGGAAUAAUA